CUGUUCUACCGUAGGCCUGUAGGCGUCUGGGGCAAGAUAGUGGGAUCGUUGUGCGCCAUCGCCGGUGUGCUGACGAUCGCGCUGCCGGUGCCCGUCAUCGUCUCCAAC
rfam:Oryctes borbonicus contig1636, whole genome shotgun sequence.